rnacentral:lncRNA from 1 species
UAACAACCAACAGGUCACGUACCCUCGGCACAAUCCGACACCGAUACAGCGAUAUGGGUCCACCGUCAACCCCGACGGCACCCAACAGUCCGGAACAGUCUCAAUGCUACUGUAAAAAUACGCUAGGCAUCUCAGCACGAGCGUAACUGCACUCUAAACUACCUAGGGUAUCCAUCACACUCAUACUGCGAAGAUAUAAAUUUACAACGGCUCAUAGAGCUAAAUCAGGUAAUGAAACAAGUGAAAGGUCCAAAUCGCCGGUUUUCUCCUAAUUAAAUUUCUAAAUCCAACAUGUAUAGUUUAACUAGAUUCUACACAUGCUUCAAAUUCAGAUUUCAGCCAAUAUACUACUCAAUGAAUUUAAGCGAGUACGAAGUAUAAACAAUCGGAAAUUAUACUUGUUUAGUAAUCUCUACUUAGGAGUAAACUCGAUGAAAACCCACCUCAAAUGCUAACUCCGGGCAGCGAAGGGAGUCUCGAACCAAUAAUAAUUCCUGCUGGAUCAACUGAAAUUCUCAAAGUCCAAAAAUCGAGCUAUCUCCAAGCUCUACAUAUCGAAAUCCGUCAAUUCUGUCCAAAUAAAAUAGCAGCAGAGUAAAUAGGAGUUCGAUCAAGCUAACCUUCACCAAAUUCAGCAAUCUUAGGCUUUGUGGAUUCCUCUCGAAGUCCUGAAUCCAACGAACCAAGUUUCGUCGCAAUCCGACACUCCUACGUCGUGUACGAGCCGAAACGCCGACGGUCGAUGCUGGAAUUCUGCAAGAACAGCAUCCUUGAGCUUGAAGUAGUAAGGACUUGCAAUGGUUGGAGGAAUUGAUAAACAUCUCACCUCCAAAGCUAUUCGAACCCCGGCGCGACGCCGAGAAUAGCGAAAACGCACCCUCGCCCGACCUCCUCGCGAUGCUACGGCAACAAUCGUAUGCUCGAACGACUCCGUGACACGGCGUCGGCGACGAAACACAUCACCCGAGCUCCUCCACGAUCGGACCAAGCUAGAGAGAGAGAGGAGAAGAAACCAGAGAAAACUCUCUCUUUUUGCUCUACACGUCUAAAUAGAGAGGGAGGGAAUGGGUGACACAAACAAGGUGGAAAAAGACCAAAACACCCUCUCACCUACCUUGGUGUACCGGUACACGGGCCUGUGUACCGGUACAAAGGCCAACCCGAGAGCAGUCUGCGCACAACCCUGUGCAGUGUACCGGUACACCUUGCUGGCUGUACCGGUACAACAAGCAGAGAAACCUGCUAUUUGCAGAUUUCUUUGCCAAAGGCUGCUCUCGCGUCGCACAGUGUCCGUUUUGCGUCUAUUUCGCGCCAACGAGACUCAGACUUGUCCCGACACUCUCCAGAGCUGUCGACAAACCUUUACCGCCAAACACCAGGGAUCUCACACUUAUAGCAUUGGAUUUGUCCUUCAACAUUCUUCUUUUCUUUUGUAAAGUCUUUUGAAAAGUUUUUAGAUUUCUUAAACUUAGAAGAAGAAGUCCCCCCUUUUGAUUUAUUUUGCUUAGAGAGAGUUGACUUGGAAGGAAACUUCUUUCUAAAGUUCCGACGAAACUUCUUCGUCAAAAGUGCCAAUUGUUUUUCGAACUCCUCCAAGGUUGGGUCCGAAUUCGAAUCCAUAGACGAAGACUCCAAGUCGCCUCCUUUAGUUGAUUUAAGUGCCAUACCUGAAGCUUUAGAAGACAACUUGGAAGAAGAUGAAUUAGACGGAAAAGUCAUUUCAUAAGUUUGAAGUGCACCAACUAAUUCAUCAACUUUUAAUUCGUCCGGAUGUUUUACCGUUUCUAUAGCCGCAACCUUUGGACGAAAACGUUCGGGAGGGGUUCUUAAAAUUUUUCGAUCAAUCUUAGGUUCAGAAAUAUUUUCACCCAAGUUAGCACAAGUAUUAACAAUAUCUUGAAGACGAGUAUAAUACUCGGUAAAGGUUUUAUAUUAUUCCAUACGGAUAGAAUCAAAUCUACUAGUCAACAUCUGUAAUUUUUGAACCUUUACCAAGCUUGUACCCUCAUGUGUAACUUGUAAAGUGUCCCAAAUUUUUUUGGCAGUUUCACCCGCCGAAACUCGAGAAAAUUCGGUUUGAUUCAAACAUUAAAUAAAGCAUUGAUACACUUCCCAUUGAACGAAGAUAGUUCAUUUUCCUCUUUCGUCCACUUGUUUCUAGGUUUGGGAUCCAUAACAUUAUCGACUACUUCGGUAGAAUGUUUCCAUCCGAAUUCAAUUGCUUGCCAAACCCUCUCGUCAAUGGCAAUAAGAAACGCUCUCAUUCGAACUUUCCAAUAAGCGUAAUUAGUGCCAUUAAUGAGAGGGGGUCGAUUAAUGUUACCUCCCUCGGCCAUAGUUUACAACCUAUACCCGCUCUGAUACCACUUGAACGAUAUGGAUUUCAAACAUCUAAAAAGUAAAUAACACCUAAACGGGGGUGAAUAGGUGUAAACAGCAAAAUCAAAACUCCUAAUGCAAAUUUAAAGUAAAAGCGGAAAUCAAAACCAACACACCGAGAUUUAACGUCGGAAAACUCCAAUUUGGAGAAAAACCCACGGGACUGAUCACGCGAAAAAUCCACUAUAGAAACAAUUGAGUACAAGUGAUUUACCGAAAAUACACGACUCAAUUUACCGAAUUUCCGUUGUAGAUUGUCUUCGCCGGUCCUCGAUUGAUCAAAGUCCUUCGAUCGAUCCCGCCGCAAAUCCUCGCAGCGUCAACGCCUCGACUCCUCGAUGCGUCCACCAAAUCCUCGGUCUCACGCGUGAUCCACUUACAUCCGCUCCAUCCGAAGCUCGUUGAGAUUAACAAUUUGUGGUGAUUGAAACACUUAGAAAGCACAUAUGAUAUGAGGAGAAACCCUAAUUAGUUCAUCACCGAUCUAAUUCUUAAAGAACCAUUGAAAUUGGAAUCGAAGAAUUGAAUCGGUGAUCAAAACCAAAAACUUGAUUUUCAAAACAUUGAUCGAAAACUCUAAAACAAGCUCUUAGGGUUUCAAAAAGGUUUUCUCUCUAAGCUCCCCACAUAUGGAACUCCUCAUAUCAUAUUUAUAAGUUUAGAAGACUUCUAGAUCGACUAGGAUUUCAAAAACCCAAUUUUAAAAACUAACGACGGUCUCAGGGUCCGGUCCUCCCGAGGAGACCGGUCUUUGGGGGACCGGUCCUCAAAGCCAGAGACCGGUCUGUCGUUGCAUGACUAAGAACAUAAGCCACGGGAAUCGGUCCUUCAAGACGGAGACCGGUCUCUCGUUUCGUAGCUGAAAACACAAGUCACGGGAACCGGUCCUUCGUUUCGGGGACCGAUCUCUCUCUGCGUAAGGGAAAAUUUUGCGUACGGGAACCGGUCCUCAAUUCAGGGUCCUGUCCCUCAAUGCGUACUUGAAAAACCAUCUUACGGGAACCGGUCCUCGAGGACAAAGACCGGUCCCUCGUAGCUUCUAUGCAGAGAGGACCUAUGGGGUCCGGUCCCUCUUAUCAAGGACCAGUCCCUGAACCCUGAGAAUUCUAGAAUAGUCCAGAUUGUUCAACAAAAGUGCAAUCUAAGUCUUCUAAACACAUUUUGUCAAUAAAACUUCACCACAAACCAUUUAUCAUCAUACCAGGUCCCGAGCUUUGCGAACGAGUCAUUGAACUUCAAACUACAAUUCUCUCUUCAAACUUCAUCUUCUAACUCUUCAAGACUCCAUUCGAACUGCAUGAAAACCGUCAACCUAGAAAAUUCCUUAACACGAUGCACCUGUGUCAAAUACUGCCCUAGCUCUAGUGCCUCUGAUAAGGAUAAUACCUGCCACCACAUCAUCUGGUAUCGCCGACUGUUCCUCCACCUGAGUGGCAAAUACCCGCCCACUAGGUGCUCGAGAGGCCUCUGGCUGACGAGGCGCUGAUGAACGUCCAGGAAACACAGCAGGUGGCAGUCCCGCCAGCUGUCACUGAGUAUACUGAACUGAAGCUGACGACGGAGCAGGCGAUGCGCCGCCCGGGCACUCUCGGCCUAUGUGGCCCGCCUGGGCACAUCGAAAACACCGCCCCUCCUGCUGAGGGCAAGCAGUAACCCUGUGGUCUCUGCCACAUAUCACGCACGGGUAGGUAGUCUGGCUCUGUGUCUGACUCCUGCCUUCCCGCCAUUGUGAUCGCUGAGGUCGAGGGGGUCGCUUAGAACUCAACUGCCCCGCAGAUCCACUAGCCGCCCUUUUCUUGGACUUAUCCCUUUCCUUUCCUUCUCGAAUGCUUUGCGCUCCUCUCGUGCAAUAGCAUUACCGCGCUCCACCGAAAGUGCGCGGUCAAGUACCUCCUCAUAGGUUUUCAAGCGGAACGCAUGAAUAACCUUGAAUAUUUCGGGUAGCAACCCGCGCUCAAAAGCCUCCGCUCAGUCCCUAUCGCCAUGAACCAAGCUCGGCACGCAAUUGACUAGGUGCGUGAACUACUUCUCGUACUCCCGCACCGAUCGGCUACAUUGCCUUAGCUUUUGAAAAUCCUCUUUGAUUUUUCGCUUGUCACUCUCGAAAAAAUACUCCAUCAAUAGCAUCUCCCGAAACGCCUCCCAAGUAACGGAAGCGAGAUCCAACGAGCGCCUUUUCUUCACUUGUGUCCACCAUAGCGGCGCCGACCCCUCGAAGCAAUGGGCCACGAGGUGAACCUUAUCCUUCUCGAGGGUGUAGAUUCCUCGAACAACGCCUCCAUCGUGGCCAACCACAACUCCACCAACCACGGAUCCUUCACAUCGCCGUUGAAGAUCGGAGGGUUGAAUCGCUUAAAGGCCGUCAACACCGCCAAUGAGCGCUCCUGCUCGGCCUUAAGCGCAUCGGGAAUAGGAGCCGAUGAACCCGAAGCCGUCAGAGGAAUAACCGUCACCGGUGCUGCCGACGUCGCUGGAGGCGGUGUCGCAGGUGCGGGCAGAUCCUAAGGUACAGGUGCAGCCGCCGCCACCUGCUGAGCCACCAACUCAUGGAGCCGUCCAACCUGCUCCCCCUGUUGCAGCAUAGCCCAGGCCAAAGCCGCUACUUGGGCCCGCAGCUCGCGUACUUCAUCUGACGCCGUCUGCCCGGGCACCUCAGGAGGCGGUGCCGGUGCAGAUCGCGUACUAGGGCGUCCUCUUGGUGCCAUUACGUCCUGAAACGUAGCACACAUAUUAGUACUCGACACACGUGACUUUCACAUGUUCCAAAUAACUACUCAAUUAAGCGAAAGCAAUCAAGCAUAAUUAUUUUCAACCUCCGGUGUUAUGUGGUCGGCCGCCCCACACAAUUUCCUUAAGUAGAAAACAAAUUAACACUUGAAUUCAUCUCUAAUUCCUUUUAGAGAAGUACCAAUGUCAACCCAAUCAAUUAGCUUCCGCAAUAAUCCAAGUCUACAUUAAACGUUUCCUAAGUCCUUAAGGUCUCCAAUCCUAAGGUUCCUAAGUCCAUCCUAGACUUUUUGCUUUCACCACGCUCUGAUACCAUUAUAUCUGUCACGCCCCGCUCCUCGCCUAUUUGGUCGGGUUCGGGCCACGUCAACAGACGCCGAACGGACAGGGCCACCCCUGCCUGCCCAAGACUCUAGCAAUAGGUAUAAUUAAGCAAUCAACAAUAAGAUUUGCAAUUAUACAUGGCUUGCACGAGGGCAAGCAACAACGGAAGCGAAAGCUCUAAGCUACGACAUACAACCACAUACAUGAUAUUUGAUUACUUUUUAACCAAAUACAAGUAAACUAAAACUAUUACAUUCUUUUUCCUUUCAUUCAUAAUAUCUUUUACAUCUUAAUCAUUCAACCCCAAAAUGCAUAAAGGUUUACAAAUUUUACAUCUCUAGAUCAACAAAAUAAAGUUGAUACAUGAACAAAACGGGAAUGACUAA